CUGUCCUGCAGUCCAGCACAAGCCUUCGAUGGCCUUUAAUGACACAAUCAGCCGAUUUUAGUCAUCAGUUCAUCGCGAGUGUGUCACUGUCAGGGAAUGGAGUCAUUAAUGCAACAUGGAUGAAAUCAGCAGGACCGAGGGGCCAAAUGUCAAACGAAGAAAUUCAAUUGAAGGAAGGUGCAGCAAUCAUACAAGCUCAGUCAACCUGGAUCUGUGGGGAUGGACCUAGGAGGAAACUGGAGAUUGCAGCUGUUUCUCAAGAACACACAUAUUACUUUUUGCGUCAUGUACACCGGCUUCUAAUGAUAAAAGACACGCAAGAAUGAAAUGAAAUACAACCCAAAUCCAGUCCAACUUCUGAGGGGUCACCAUAGUCAUGGGCCAUAUGCAUGAAGAAUUUCCUGCUUCCUGGACAUGACUGGAUAUGAACGCUGGCCAACAGCCAAACACUAAUAUGCUUUUCUGGAACUAGUGUCUAUACCGACUAGCCAGUAUAGACAAGCCUAUGCCAAGUCAGUCAUUUUUAGUUAUGAUAUUACAGGGUUGAAAAUUACUCUGACAGAUGAAAUCAUGAAAUGACGUGACCCAGUGAUCAAAAGCUUGUUUGCUAGUCUGUCAGCCAAUCUUUACACUGAUGCAUGUUUACAUUAGUGACAGAGUGUCGGUGACUACAAAGCACAUAAAAAAGAACCGAGUCUCUUUCGACAUGACAAAUACUAAGUCCUUUUCUAUGUGUUCUGUGUGAGAUACUUCUUCUAUUUCAUCUGAUUUGGCCUAUGAUGAUAGUUUAGUUGAGUUUCCUCGAUAUUUGUUUAUUAGAAUUUAGGUUUUUGUUCUUCUAAUUCAGCUCCCUUCUUGAGUGUCCUUAUGUGGUUUGUUUUGUGCUUAAUGUGACUUAAUAACAAAGUAAUUCCUUAUUGGUUUAACAAAGCAAACCCCCUUAAACAUGCUGUGUGUGUGAGACAGGCAAAAAAUACCCCCAAAGUUUAAAAGAGCAUCAGUUAAGAGCAGGUGAAAAUUCCUAAAGACUCUUAUCUGGCUAUAAAAUGUAUUUAUAUCUGCCAAAGUUCCUGAAAAACAUUUGAAGAAAGGUUCAUUUUUAGUGUCUGUUUGCUGCAUGUGUUGUAUUUACUCAUUUACAGUGACUGAUAACAUACACACUAUUACUUUCCUGUUAUUAAUUUCACCGUCACACACAAAUCAGCACAUUGAUAAGGAGUGCAUUCAUGACUGUUAUUCUUGUUAGGUAGCAUUAUGUCAAGUAAGCUCUGUCUGAAAACGAGUUCUAAGAUUUCCCGGAGUUUAAUGAUUCAUUCAAAAACAACUCAUGCCAUGACUCAGGUGAUUUGAGUCACAUAGCAUGAAUGUUUCAGACUUUAAUCCCGGAUAGAAACUGAAUGUUGCAACAGAGGUCAGUUGAAAUUGGACAGGACAGCAGUUUCUAAUAGCCAGGUUUUAAACGUUUUAAAAGGACGUCGUUUCUUACAUGUAUGUACAUUUGCCAAACUAUUGUUGUGAGUCGCGGGGUUAGCUGGAUGUAUAAUCGUCAAAUCAUAAGCACAAGCUCACUGAAAAAAACUGACAUCUGUCAACAUCUGGCAAACCAAACUGCUCCUUCUUCUGCUCUACCGGGUAAGACGGUAACCGGAAAUGACGACAAUGAAGUUUUUUUUUUCAUUUUGACUACAGAAAUAGUUUUUAGCUGCGUAAAAUAGUUUUUUCGCAGAUUAAUACUGCCAACACAGUACAGCCAACACAAUACAGUUGAGUCAGUACUUCUGUAGUGGACUAUGAAACCUUUAUAAAGGUAGGGUUUAUUGUAGGAGUGUGGUAUUAAACAAGAUUAGUUUUAGUGGGGCGUACUUGUAUCCUGUAUUAAACUGCCAACAGAUUGUACAUAAAUAAUAUGUAAUUUAAAUAAUUCAUAAUUUAAAGCAUCAUUAUUAAUUAAUUUCAUGGCUUCAAAACGUAUUUACUUGUUUGCCCAUAAAUGCACUUGCUCUUGUUUUUAUGUUCUCAGUUUUGGUGUAAAAUUUAAAUUAUAUAAUUUAUUUCCCCCAGACAAUGCAAAUGCAGUCAAAUGUAUAAAUAUAUGUUAUACCCUCAAUUUUCUUCCUUCAAAUAACUAUUUAUAAUUCAAUAAACAUUUGUAUGC